rnacentral:rRNA from 1 species
UACGUAGGGUGCGAGCGUUAAUCGGAAUUACUGGGCGUAAAGCGUGCGCAGGCGGUUUUGUAAGCCAGAUGUGAAAGCCCCGGGCUUAACCUGGGAAUGGCAUUUGGGACUGCAAGGCUUGAGUGCGGCAGAGGAGACUGGAAUUCCUGGUGUAGCAGUGAAAUGCGUAGAUAUCAGGAGGAAUACCGAUGGCGAAGGCAGGUCUCUGGGCUGACACUGACGCUGAGGAGCGAAAGCGUGGGGAGCAAACAGG